UACAGAGGUCCCGAGCGUUGUUCGGAUUCAUUGGGCGUAAAGGGUGCGUAGGCGGCGAGGUAAGUCUGAUGUGAAAUCCCGGGGCUCAACCCCGGAACUGCAUUGGAUACUGCCUUGCUAGAGUACUGGAGAGGGAACUGGAAUUUACGGUGUAGCAGUGAAAUGCGUAGAGAUCGUAAGGAAGGCCAGUGGCGAAGGCGAGUUCCUGGACAGUUACUGACGCUGAGGCACGAAGGCCAGGGGAGCAAACGGG
rnacentral:rRNA from 1 species